rnacentral:rRNA from 1 species
UACCUAGGGGGCAAGCGUUAUCCGGAAUUAUUGGGUGUAAAGGGUGCGUAGACGGAGAAACAAGUUGGUUGUGAAAUCCCUCGGCUCAACCGAGGAACUGCAACCAAAACUAUUUCCCUUGAGUGUCGGAGAGGAAAGUGGAAUUCCUAGUGUAGCGGUGAAAUGCGUAGAUAUUAGGAGGAACACCAGUGGCGAAGGCGACUUCCUGGACGAUAACUGACGUUGAGGCACGAAAGUGUGGGGAGCAAACAGG